UUUCCCUCAGGAUAGCUGGCACUCGCUCUCUUAGCGAGUCUCAUCUGGUAAAGCGAAUGAUUAGAGGCCUUGGGGCCGAAACGACCUCAACCUAUUCUCAAACUUUAAAUGGGUGAGAUCUCUGGCUUGCUUGAACAUUGAAGCCAUGAGAUAUUGAUGGAUCAGAGUGCCAAGUGGGCCAAUUUUGGUAAGCAGAAACUGGGCUGUGGGA
rnacentral:rRNA from 1 species